ensembl:lncRNA
AAAUAACAAUAGUAUGGAGUCAAAAUAAUGCCGAUCCAGGUACUGUCAUGAUGAGCAGAUGCAUGCGAGUGGAUCGCUUCCUUUUAUUCACUAGCAUUAAAACAUGCAUGGUUUCGUUUUAUUAACUUUAUUAACAAAUGUAUAUGUGUAUUAGCAGCGUUUGCUCAAGUUAAAGAAGUUGUUACCAUGCACAUCUGUUGUUUAUUUCUCUCGAUGUGCACUCUUUUACUGGCAUAAAGUUGGCUUGACGUUGGACGUUCGAUAUUCGCAAAUCUAGGGACCGUCUCUAAAGUUACAUGCGAAACUACUAUACACUUCUCUAACGUCAAUAGCAUGCAAGGAGAAUGACUAACAGUCAUGAAAACAACUGUUAACUGUUCAUCCAGGUGUCAACUAUAAUGCACACCUUUUAUAUUUUUUGAUAAUUAUUAAAAUAAACUGUAAAUCAUAUGUAAAAUAUUGCUACUUUUCAUUACCAAAUGGACGUAAACACUAAUUUAAAGCUCAAAAGCUCAAAUGAAAAAUAGCAAUAUUUUACAUAUGAUUUACAGUUUAUUUGAAUAAUUAUGAAAAAUAUGAACGGUGUGCAUUAUAGUUGACACGAAGAUGAACACUUUACAGUAUGUUUUAUGAAAGUGAGUCAUUCUGUUCAAAUGCUAUUGAGCUUUAAAUUUGUAUUUAAGUGCAUUCGGUAAUGAAAAGUAGCAAUAUUUUACAUAUGAUUUACAGUUUAUUUGAAUAAUUAUGAAAAAUAUGAAUGGUGUGCAUUAUAGUUGACACCUAGAUGAACACUUUAUAGUAUGUUUUAUGAAAGUGAGUCAUUCUGUUCAAAUGCUAUUGAGCUUCAAAUUAUGGCAUAUUUUAAAUUUGAGCCCAUUCGGUAAUGAAAAGUAGCAAUAUUUUACAUUUGAUUUACAGUUUAUUUUAAUAAUUAUCAAAAAAUAUAAAAGGUGUGCAUUAUAGUUGACACCUGGAUGAACAGUUAACAGUUGUUUUCAUGACUGUUAGUCAUUCUCCUUGCAUGCUAUUGACGUUAGAGAAGUGUAUAGUAGUUUCGCAUGUAACUUUAGAGACGGUCCCUAGAUUUGCGAAUAUCGAACGUCCAACGUCAAGCCAACUUUAUGCCAGUUGUUUGUUUAAGAUCUAACCUGUGGGAGGACGCCAGCGCACAGAAGCGUUCUUUGUUCACAUUAGUUCAGAGUUACUGCUAGUUUUAAUGUAAAAUUAUGCAAUUCACUUCAUAAACUAUAACGUACAUCAUUAAAGAGGUCUACGACUCAAGUUUUAUAUCGAUCUCGACUUCGUUUUUCAUUUACAUAACUCCUGGCAUAAAUUAAUAAAUGACUGUCAUUGUAAAAAAAAAAAAAAAUGAAGCUCGAAUCUUUUUGGUUUAAUUUUGCCACGAGUUUAAUGCAUAAACAAACCCGCGUGACCAUAGCAACCUGAGAUUAUCAGAGAUUGAUCAAAUAUUUUUAUCCAUCCCACAGUCCGUUGAUCGUGUCUUUUUAUGUAAUAUAUGUGCAUAUAAGGCUUUUAUUAUUUUUAUCAUUAUAUAUAUAUAAUAUAUCCAAGUGGAUGCUGCACACUGCUGGUGGUUGAGGAGAGACCCCCCACAUGAUCGUACAGCGAAUUGGGUGUACAACAAUACAUUAUAAAGCGCUAUAUAAAUGCAUCAUUCAUUUAUUCAUAUAGGCUAACCGUAUAUAAUAAUUGAUAAUACCAUUAUAUUAAAUAGGGCUAUAUUUUUAUAUUUAUUGUUAUGCUUAUUUCCCCUUUUAAUUCGUGUAUUGCUUACCUAAUUAACGUUCUUUGUUAAAUUAGUGUUUUCAUUUACAAAUGAAACUAGCGAAUUAUUCAUUUAUAAUUCUAGUAUUUAUUAUUAUAGGGUUAUUGUUAAAUUCAUCCUCUAAAGUGCACUUCCAGUAAAAAAUCUUUAUUGGCAUGUCGGGCUUUUACAGUAUAGGCUUUUAUUUACAAAACUCUUCAGGGCUGCGUUUUCCAAAAGCAUCGUUAAAACUAGCAGUAACUCUGAACUAAUGUGAACAAAGAACGCUUCUGUGCGCUGGCGUCCUCCACAGGUUAAGAGAUUUUAAACAAACACUGUUAAUACACAUGCAGUUAACCAAAUGAAACAAUACACAUUUUAAUGCUAGAAAAGUGUGCACAUCGAGAGAAAUAAACAGCAGAUGUGCAUGGUAACAACUUCUUUAACUUGAGCAAAUGCUGCUAAUACACAUAGGCUAUACAUUUGUUAAUAAAGUUAAUAAAACGAAACCAUGCAUGUUUUAAUGCUAGCGAAUAAAAGGAAGCGAUCCACUCGCAUGCAUCUGCUCAUCAUGACAGUACCUGGAUCAGUUAGCUGCGUCUCGGGCCGAUGACGUCACUUCCAGGGAGGCAUGUUGUACACGCCCCUGCCCCUUGACUCCACCCCCACGUCAAAACAGCGCCACAAAACGAGACGCGCAGAAAAAUGAAGCGCACAGGAAAAACUGCAGCGCUCGCUCAAACUAGAUUGACACGCAAAAUAAAAUCAGUGUUGCAAAUAAAAUUGUAGAUAUGACC